rnacentral:rRNA from 1 species
CCUACGGGAGACAGCAGUGAGGAAUAUUGGUCAAUGGGCGCGAGUCUGAACCAGCCAAGUAGCGUGAAGGAUGACUGCCCUACGGGUUGUAAACUUCUUUUAUAAAGGAAUAAAGUGAGGCACGUGUGCCUUUUUGUAUGUACUUUAUGAAUAAGGAUCGGCUAACUCCGUGCCAGCAGCCGCGGUAAUACGGAGGAUCCGAGCGUUAUCCGGAUUUAUUGGGUUUAAAGGGAGCGUAGAUGGGUUGUUAAGUCAGUUGUGAAAGUUUGCGGCUCAACCGUAAAAUUGCAUUUGAUACUGGCAGCCUUGAGUGCAGUUGAGGUAGGCGGAAUGCGUGGUGUAGCGGUGAAAUGCUUAGAGAUCACAAAGAACUCCGAUUGCGAAGGCAGCUUACCAAGCUGCCACUGACAUUGAUGCUCGAAAGUGUGGGUAUCAAACAGGAUUAGAUACCCGAGUAGUC